UCUUAAUUUGAUUGAGUUGUGUGAGUAAUUAUCAGAUUCGUUAGCAGCAAAUCAACUGAAGCUAAACCUCUUUGGAAAUAGCUAUGCACAGGCCCAACAACGACGACAUGCAGGGAUUGAGAGAGAGAGAGAGAGAGAGAGAGAGAGAGAGAUGCAGGGACACUCUUGCCUUCAUUUCCGCAGUUGUUGUGGGUAUUGAUAAGGAGAGUCAGAUGGUUUAAUUCUUUCACUUUGUCAAAACUUUGCGUCUCGUCCAUUUUCCCAUCACUGCUAAGUGGCAAUAUUUGUCUGCUUUUGUGUUAGCUAUAACUUGUCUUUCUUUUAUUAGUUGAUUAUUAGGGUUUCGUUUUCAUAUUUCCCUAGUCCCCAAACAGACGGCAAAUUACAGUUAAUACGGACGUUGCGUCCAUGUGCAUGUGCCGUAACAAAUGGGUUCUGAAUUCUUUGAAUCGCACGAUAGAGUAGGAAAUGAGGCCUCAAAAUUCAAAGGCAAUCAUCUAACUGCAAAUCAUGAAGAUUAACGAUGAUAGGACAUUAAAGCCAUUUAACCUCCCAAGUCGAAGAGAUUUCAGCUUUCAAGUUUAAGGGGAUUUGAACUUCUCCUUCUAAGUCGGAGACUUACAAAAACGAGUGAGAUACUUUUAUCUCUUUUCAGAUCUAUAUAACCACUGUCAUUUGGAUUUAA